rnacentral:tRNA from 1 species
GGAUUGUGGCUCAGCGGUAGAGUGCUCACCUAACAUGGGCGGGACCCGGGUUCAAUCCUCAGCACCA